rnacentral:rRNA from 1 species
UACGUAGGGGGCUAGCGUUGUCCGGAUUUAUUGGGCGUAAAGAGCGUGUAGGCGGCCAGGUAGGUCUGGUGUGAAAACUCGAGGCUUAACCUCGAGAUGUCAUCGGAAACCAUCUGGCUAGAGUCCGGAAGAGGAGAGUGGAAUUCCUGGUGUAGCGGUGAAAUGCGCAGAUAUCAGGAGGAACACCUGUGGCGAAGGCGGCCCCCUGGUUGGAUACUGACGCUGAUACGCGAAAGCGUGGGGAGCAAACAGG